AACCCAUGAUGAGAGCAUGAGAAAAGAAGGUCUUUAAAUCUCUCCCAACAUUCAUAAAAAGUUUCAUUAUCUUUUUGUUGGAAAUUGCUGAUAUGCCUUUUUAGAAAGU